UACGUAGGGGGCAAGCGUUGUCCGGAUUUAUUGGGCGUAAAGAGCGUGUAGGCGGCUUGACAGGUCUGCUGUGAAAACUCGAGGCUCAACCUCGAGAUGUCGGCGGAAACCGUCUGGCUAGAGUCCGGAAGAGGAGAGUGGAAUUCCUGGUGUAGCGGUGAAAUGCGCAGAUAUCAGGAGGAACACCGAUGGCGAAGGCAGGUCACUGGGCCGCAACUGACGCUGAGGAGCGAAAGCAUGGGGAGCGAACAGG
rnacentral:rRNA from 1 species